rnacentral:rRNA from 1 species
CCUACGGGAGGCAGCAGUGAGGAAUAUUGGUCAAUGGACGGAAGUCUGAACCAGCCAUGCCGCGUGCAGGAAGACGGCUCUAUGAGUUGUAAACUGCUUUUGUACAAGGGUAAACCUGAAUACGUGUAUUCAGCUGAAAGUACUGUACGAAUAAGGAUCGGCUAACUCCGUGCCAGCAGCCGCGGUAAUACGGAGGAUCCAAGCGUUAUCCGGAUUUAUUGGGUUUAAAGGGUGCGUAGGCGGAUUGAUAAGUUAGAGGUGAAAUGUCCGAGCUUAACUCGGGAACUGCCUCUAAUACGGUUGAUCUAGAGGGUAGAUGAGGUAGGCGGAAUGUAUGGUGUAGCGGGGAAAUGCUUAGAGAUCAUACAGAACACCGAUUGCGAAGGCAGCUUACCAAUCUAUAUCUGACGUUGAGGCACGAAAGCGUGGGGAGCAAACAGGAUUAGAUACCCGUGUAGUC